rnacentral:rRNA from 1 species
ACAGCAGUAGCCACGGUAAUACGUAGGUGGCAAGCGUUGUCCGGAAUUAUUGGGCGUAAAGCGCGCGCAGGCGGUUUCUUAAGUCUGAUGUGAAAGCCCCCGGCUUAACCGGGGAGGGUCAUUGGAAACUGGGAGACUUAGAGUGCAGAAGAGGAGAGUGGAAUUCCAUGUGUAGCGGUGGAAUGCGUAGAUAUAUGGAGGAACACCAGUGGCGGAGGCGACUCUCUGGUCUGUAACUGACGCUGAGGCGCGAAAGCGUGGGGAGCAAACAGGAUUAGAUACCCGUGUAGUCCCUGUCUCUUAUA